AAAGUCACCUAACCUAGAUCCAACAAAUAUAUGCAACAAAAAAUAUCUGAUAACCAUGGUUUAGAAUUCAUUUUGGAAAGUGAACCAGCCAUAGAUCGUCUUCUCCGCCAAGAUCGUCGAUUUGCUUUAGUUUCUCCCUCACCCUAUGCGGAUCAUCAGUUAUCUUCCUCUCCCUUUGUUAAGCUAAGUGUUUAAACUUGUAAUUACCUACUUCCCUUUUCUAGUUCAAUGGGUUGAGUUUCUUAAGAAACUAAUACCACCAUUUGUACUAAAAAUUGAGUCCAGUAACUAAAGUUUGACAACAGUGAUUUCGUAAAAGGUGUGUCUAAUCCACUCUUUCGUAUUUUACAUAUCUGCCAUGGCUUGUUUUUGAGCAUUCUCUCCUUCCUCACACAUUUCCUCUCUCUCUCAUUAUGAUACAACAUAUUAUUUUAGUGAAAAAUUGAUGAAUAAGGUGAAAUCAUGAAGCUUAAAAUUGAACAUUUACUUGAAGAGUAUGUUCCUACUGCAUCAAUUGAACAACGGAAACAAAAACUAUGAUUCCAUCGGAAGUCUUGGAUUUUGUAAGAACUUUGUGAUCAACAUUUUCCUUUUUGGAGUUUGAUGAUGCGUUACUUAGGUGAAGAUGCAGUAUUGGGUUUACCUGAAAUAGGACUUGCUAUAAUACCAGGAUCAGUUGGAUAUUUCCACUAACAGCCUCUUGCAGAAAUACACGGUAAGGUUGCAUACAAAUAAAAUCUUGAGGUUGGGCCCUUCCCUAGAUCCCGCUUCCCUUUAGCUGAUAUUCCACUAUCUUAAAGUCAAUUCAUCACUUUUACCAUUCAUAAGUUUCCAAUACUGGAUGAAAGAUAAGUGCGAAAGAUGCUGGAUUAAUAGGUAUGUACGUGACUUGUCAGAGCUCAUUUGUCAAGUGGAUGGGGCUCCUUGUUUUUCCCAAGACCCUCCUCUUUCUACUCUGAGUCUCUCUCUGUCUCUCUCUUGUGGUAACCCCUCAAUAAUUCCAUUUGGUCAUGCAAGGCUUGUCAAUUACUGUGUUCCUGCUAGUGAGGCUCGUCUCAAGGCGCUUGAACUUGCUAGGGAUAUUAAUCAGAAGAUCAGCUGCCUUCUCCUGAGAUAGAUGCAUUAUCAAAAUAGGAUGGCAACAAAGCCAGCAUCAAACAAUGCAAAGCUACCCACCGUGCAGAUGCGCAGACUUGUUAACCAGUCGUAUUCUACUAGGUAGAAUUGCUUCCAGAGUCACCGUUCCAAUCAUGGACUCUUUCGUCUCCCUUCUAUAUUUUCACUUCGUCGGGUUUCCAUGUCAUAGAUGCAUUGAGCUGAAGAAUUUGCAGUUGCAGGUAUAAACGUUGCUGAUCAUGAGCAGUAGCAUUUCACCUAAUGGGAUGGCUAAACAAAAUUUUCAAAGGUUCUAAUCAUAAAGUUUUGGAAGGCCAAUAUGACUGGAUAUGUGAAAGACAUACAGAGAGAUGAUCUAUCUACCAUAGAGGAAGGUCGUGUUGAUAUCAAGUACAUGUUGUUCUUCUUGUGCUGUUCAUGGAAAAGGGCAUUAGUGUUUGAUUUAUUCUAUAACUGAGAAACUACUGUUAAUGAAUUGUGAUCAUGGAAUGACACCUUAAUCUGGUUCAAGCUUUGCAAAACAAAUCGGUUGCCAGAUUUCACCCUCAUUCUCAGUGGCAUUCAACCACUCUUAUCUGGUAAUAUAUAUCUCCUCCUUAAUCUCCUUAUUUAUAUUAUAAUUACAAGGUAUAUACGCUGACAAGGUAAAUUUUUUAUAUUAUCUACUUAAUAUAACAUAUUGUAGCAAGUUGUCUUAUUCUUCAUGUAACUGAACUUACUUCGAAAAGUGGAUAGGAACAUCUUGUUUUUACCAUGACAGACCAGCUCUUGUAAUUAUUGGAAGGAACCAAAGACAGAGUUGCAAACAUUUAAAACUCUAAACAUUCCUAGUCUAAUUUUUUUUAAAAUACUUUUAAAACUUUAAGGUACCCAAAUAAACUACUCCCAUGCAUGUCCCAAUCCUACCCAACGUACAUUUUACUUAUUAACUUUUGUGUGACUUAGACCUACCUAUGUAGUGCAGUUUGGAUAUCCAUUGAUAAUAAUGUCGAUACUUGCAUUAAUCCAUGUAAUCCUCAUUCUUUAAGGAUGGAUAGAAGAUCUAAUAGAUUUAUCGUUUCAGUUUCAUUCUGAUAGUCCAAGUUAUAAUGAGCUUUAACAUUAUUCAAAUCUUGAAAAUCAGUGGGCAUUUACCUUCUUUGCUUUAACUUUUAUUGCUUUAAUAAAUACAUUUUUAUUUUUUGUUUUAGCUAAUUAGAUUGCUAAUACUCCAUCAGUCUAUUACACCAACAUUUUUGGCUUGAGUUAUCUGAAGGGAAGACUUUGUUGACUGAUUAUACGAGCCUGGUGAGAACUGUUGAGGUUAUGGUAGUUAAAGUUAUUAGGGAAGAUAGUAAAAUACUUGUUGAUUUGCUUCAGGAGUUAUCUAAUGGGGUGGUUAGGCAUUAGUGUAGGCCGUUAUUGGAUAAGAUCAAGCCUGGUGAGACUGUUGAGGAUGGGAUUUUUAGGGCAAUGAAAGAGGAGAAUAUACUCUUUAUCACCAGAAAUUUGCUAACAGUUUUAACUUUUGCACAGGAGAUGAACUUCUAUGAUCAAGUUGUAACAAGUACCAUACUGGAAGGGCGGCUUGAUCACUUAUUUUCAAGGAGAACUAAUGAUUGUUGGGUAUAUUGGUUCAAUUCUUCUGAAUUUGACAUCAGGUAGAAUGUACUAAGUAUGAUCUGAAAGUAAUAGGCAAGUUGUUUUGUAGCACAAGACAUUUCAGAAUAAGUAAAAGUUUCUUUCAAUGGCCAGUCAACCUCGGUUACAGGUCGUAGGUGCUAGCAAGAAUAAAAUCUCUGCACUGAAAAGAUUCUCUUAUUUACCUUCUUUGAGUGUCCAGGGAAAGGCCUCACCACAAGGGUGUAUCGUAUGUAGCCUUACCUUACAUUUCUGCCAGAGGAUGUUUCCAAGGCUUGAACCUGUGACCUCCUUGUCACAUGGCAGCAACUUUAACAGUUACUCAAGGCUCCCCUUCAAAAAUUUAUUAAAGGGUGCAGCUGCAGGGAUUCGAUCCUGGGAUGGGAGACAUAAAAGUUAUGCCUAAAGCCAAAGCACCCAACCAUGCUUUUUUUCAUUUAGGCUUAAAAAAUAUUAACCUAUUCCUAGAGAACAAAAAAUGAAUAAUCCUUUUCUACUUUGAUUCUUUUAUGAGACAAUGUAUCAUCGGUGUUUUCAUUUUUUCUGAUCCCGUUGACUGAGUUUUCUGAGUUGAAGUCUUCAUCUACUAUGUCAAUUGUAGCAAUCUGUUUAACUUCUUGGACUUCUUCUACAAUGAAGCAUCUGCCCGCUCAAUCUCCUUCACAUUUUGCAUCAAUUUUGAUAAGAAAUGUGUAGACUUUGCUGAUACUUAGCAUCAAGUUACGAUAAAAUAAGGAUUCCUCUUUCUAUAUCAAUGAAAAUAAUGUAUUAAUUAGUAAAGGAUAAUGCAUACAAUUCAAAAUAAAAAAGAUUAUUUUAGUUCUUGAUAAGUGUUAAAGAAUAGUGUCAAUGAAAAUAAUGUAUUAAUUAGUAAAGGAUAAUCCAUACAAUUCAAAAUAAAACAGAUUAUUUUAGUAUUUGAUAAGUUCUAAAGAAUAGUGUAAUAUGACCUUUUCCAAAGUUGAUUGCU